GGACGAACGCUGGCGGCGUGCUUAACACAUGCAAGUUGAACGACGGUCUUUAGAGUGUAGUAAUACAUGAAGGAGAUACGGAGUAGCGGACGGGUGAGUACAACACGAGAAGCUAUCCUUUACAGGGGGACAACGUUUGGAAACGGACGCUAAUACCCCAUAGGCCUGAGGGUUAAAGCAGCGAUGCGAUAGAGGGGGUGCUCGUGCCCUAUCAGCUAGUUGGUGAGGUAACGGCUCACCAAGGCGAUGACGGGUAGCCGGCCUGAGAGGGCGACCGGCCACACUGGAACUGAGAUACGGUCCAGACUCCUACGGGAGGCAGCAGUGGGGAAUAUUGGGCAAUGGGAGAGAUCCUGACCCAGCAACGCCGCGUGAACGAAGAAGGCCCUUGGGUCGUAAAGUUCUUUUGCGCGGGAAGAAGAAAGUGACGGUACCGCGCGAAUAAGCCCCGGCUAACUACGUGCCAGCAGCCGCGGUAAUACGUAGGGGGCGAGCGUUGUCCGGAAUUACUGGGCGUAAAGGGCACGCAGGCUGUGCCGUAAGUCGGCUGUAAAAAGAUGCGGCUUAACCGCGUUGCGCAGUCGAAACUGCGGUGCUAGAGUACCGGAGAGGCAAGUGGAAUUCCCAGUGUAGCGGUGAAAUGCGUAGAUAUUGGGAAGAACAUCGGUGGCGAAGGCGACUUGCUGGUCGGUAACUGACGCUCUUGUGCGAAAGCCAGGGGAGCAAACGGGAUUAGAUACCCCGGUAGUCCUGUCGGUAAACGAUGAAUGCUGGGUGUGCGAGUAGAGAUACUGGUGUGCCGUAGUUAACGCGAUAAGCAUUCCGCCUGGGGAGUACGGUCGCAAGAUUGAAACUCAAAGGAAUUGACGGGGGCCCGCACAAGCGGUGGAGCACGUGGUUUAAUUCGAUGCAAA
rnacentral:rRNA from 1 species